rnacentral:rRNA from 1 species
GGAAUUUUCCGCAAUGGGCGAAAGCCUGACGGAGCAAUGCCGCGUGGAGGAUGAAGGCCUGUGGGUUGUAAUCUCCUUUUCUCAGAGAAGAAGUUCUGACGGUAUCUGAGGAAUAAGCAUCGGCUAACUCCGUGCCAGCAGCCGCGGUAAUACGGAGGAUGCAAGCGUUAUCCGGAAUCAUUGGGCGUAAAGCGUCUGUAGGUGGCUUGGUAAGUCGACUGUUAAAUCGUAGAGCUCAACUCUAUAUCGGCAGUCGAAACUACUUCGCUUGAGUGUGGUAGGGGCAGAGGGAAUUCCCGGUGUAGCGGUGAAAUGCGUAGAUAUCGGGAAGAACACCAACGGCGAAAGCACUCUGCUGGGCCAACACUGACACUGAGAGACGAAAGCUAGGGUAGCCAAUGGGAUUAGAUACCCCAGUAGUC